rnacentral:sRNA from 1 species
UGCCCGGUAGGCAAGGCUACCGCAGGGAUACGGGCUGCUGCCGCGACAGGGUGGAGACACCCCAAGCAGGUAUGAGCAGGCAAUGUCGAAACAGCAAGGCGUUGUCUAAUGCAGCUUCACCGCCCGGCGAUGCUAAAGCUUGUACGGUAGC